GGAGGUGUUGCUGAGUGGUUGAAAG
rnacentral:tRNA from 2 species